AGUUGGCAGCUGUAAUCAUCGCUGGCCUCCUCCUGCUCUACAUUCCACUGUGCUAUGAGAAUUUCCAUUUCCACGUGGCUCAUUUGUAUGCUCGCCUGGGGUACCCCAAUGCCCAGCACAUCCUGGGACAGAGGUAUUUACAAGGAACCGGAGUGGAAAAAAAUGAGGACAUGGCUAUGCACUGGUUCAGGCAGGCUGCGGGGCAGGGCCAUCCCCACUCCUCCUUCAACCUGGUGGUGGGGGCACUCAGAAACAUGACCAUGGCACUUGAAGAAGGGUAACAUGAGUUAAUCCUUUUCCUUCCCAUUACAGCUGCAUUCCCAGCUCCU
rnacentral:lncRNA from 1 species